rnacentral:rRNA from 1 species
AUGCACGCUGGCGGCGUGCCUCAUACAUGCAAGUCGAGCGAACAGACGAGGAGCUUGCUCCUCUGACGUUAGCGGCGGACGGGUGAGUAACACGUGGAUAACCUACCUAUAAGACUGGGAUAACUUCGGGAAACCGGAGCUAAUACCGGAUAAUAUAUUGAACCGCAUGGUUCAAUAGUGAAAGACGGUUUUGCUGUCACUUAUAGAUGGAUCCGCGCCGCAUUAGCUAGUUGGUAAGGUAACGGCUUACCAAGGCAACGAUGCGUAGCCGACCUGAGAGAGUGAUCGGCCACACUGGAACUGAGACACGGUCCAGACUCCUACGGGAGGCAGCAGUAGGGAAUCUUCCGCAAUGGGCGAAAGCCUGACGGAGCAACGCCGCGUGAGUGAUGAAGGUCUUCGGAUCGUAAAACUCUGUUAUUAGGGAAGAACAAAUGUGUAAGUAACUAUGCACGUCUUGACGGUACCUAAUCAGAAAGCCACGGCUAACUACGUG